rnacentral:tRNA from 1 species
AUUUGGGUAUCUUAAAAUUUUAAAGUUUAACUCUGAAGAAGUUAAUAUAGGCCACAGCCUCCCGAGUG